GACGAACGCUGGCGGCGUGCUUAACACAUGCAAGUCGAACGGAAAGGCCCUGCUUUUGUGGGGUGCUCGAGUGGCGAACGGGUGAGUAACACGUGAGUAACCUGCCCUUGACUUUGGGAUAACUUCAGGAAACUGGGGCUAAUACCGGAUAGGAGCUCCUGCUGCAUGGUGGGGGUUGGAAAGUUUCGGCGGUUGGGGAUGGACUCGCGGCUUAUCAGCUUGUUGGUGGGGUAGUGGCUUACCAAGGCAUUGACGGGUAGCCGGCCUGAGAGGGUGACCGGCCACAUUGGGACUGAGAUACGGCCCAGACUCCUACGGGAGGCAGCAGUGGGGAAUAUUGCACAAUGGGCGGAAGCCUGAUGCAGCAACGCCGCGUGCGGGAUGACGGCCUUCGGGUUGUAAACCGCUUUCGCCUGUGACGAAGCGUGGGUGACGGUAAUGGGUAAAGAAGCACCGGCUAACUACGUG
rnacentral:rRNA from 1 species